rnacentral:rRNA from 1 species
UACAGAGGGUGCGAGCGUUGUCCGGAAUCACUGGGCGUAAAGGGCGCGUAGGCGGCCUGAUAAGUAGGGGGUGAAAUCCUGUGGCUUAACUGCAGGGUUGCCUCCUAGACUGUUAGGCUCGAGCACGGUAGAGGCAGAUGGAAUUCCCGGUGUAGCGGUGGAAUGCGUAGAGAUCGGGAAGAACAUCGGUGGCGAAGGCGGUCUGCUGGGCCGUUGCUGGACGCUGAGGCGCGACAGCGUGGGGAGCAAACAGG